rnacentral:misc_RNA from 1 species
AAGUCGUAACAAGGUUUCCGUAGGUGAACCUGCGGAAGGAUCAUUAACACGUAUCCAAACGUUAAACAACCCCGUGAACAUACAACCUGCUCUGGUCGCCCGCUCGCAUGUGAGAAAAACUGACAGCGAUUCAUAGAAGCGGUAGGUCAAGUGACACGGCGUCCCCAAGUGACCAGUGAAUGAAAGUGUCGCUGGAGCGUCAAGGACGACUCUUCAAGAUUGCUAGAGGUCGACCACCGACCGGCUUCCGUGUAUACCGAGCUAACACCGCUCCCUUCCGAACCCCACUUUAUUGCCUUGCCUGUAAGCAUCCAUACGGAUGGGCAGGCCCCCCGAACAACUGUUAACAAUGGAUAUCUUGGUUCUC